GACGGAGGAUGCAAGCGUUAUCCGGAAUGAUUGGGCGUAAAGCGUCCGCAGGUGGCCGUUCAAGUCUGCUGUCAAAGACCGGGGCUUAACUUCGGAAAGGCAGUGGAAACUGAACAGCUAGAGUAUGGUAGGGGCAGAGGGAAUUCCCGGCGUAGCGGUGAAAUGCGUAGAGAUCGGGAAGAACACCAGUGGCGAAAGCGCUCUACUGGACCGCAACUGACACUCAGGGACGAAAGCUAGGGGAGCGAAUGGG
rnacentral:rRNA from 1 species